GACGAACGCUGGCGGCGUGCUUAACACAUGCAAGUCGAACGGAAAGGCCCUGCUUUUGUGGUGUUCUCGAGUGGCGCACGGGUGAGUAACACGUGAGUAACCUGCCCUUGACUUUGGGAUAACUUCAGGAAACUGGGGCUAACACCGUAUAGGAUCUCCUGCUGCAUGGUGGGGGUUGGAAAGUUUCGGCGGUUGGGGAUGGACUCGCGGCUUAUCAGCUUUUUGGUGGGGUAGUGGCUUACCAAGGCUUUGACGGGUAGCCGGCCUGAGAGGGUGACCGGCCACAUUGGGACUGAGAAACGGCCCAGACUCGUACGGGAGGAAGCAGGGGGGAAUAUUGCAAAAUGGGCGGAAGCCUGAUGAAGAAACGCGGCGUGCGGGAUGAGGGCCUUCGGGUGGUAAACCGCUUUCGCCUGUGACGAAGCGUGAGUGACGGUAAAGGGUAAAGAAGCACCGGCUAACUACGUG
rnacentral:rRNA from 1 species